rnacentral:rRNA from 1 species
UACGUAGGGUGCAAGCGUUAAUCGGAAUUACUGGGCGUAAAGCGUGCGCAGGCGGCUUUGCAAGUCAGAUGUGAAAUCCCCGGGCUUAACCUGGGAACUGCAUUUGUGACUGCAUGGCUAGAGUACGGUAGAGGGGGAUGGAAUUCCGCGUGUAGCAGUGAAAUGCGUAGAUAUGCGGAGGAACACCGAUGGCGAAGGCAAUCCCCUGGGCCUGCACUGACGCUCAUGCACGAAAGCGUGGGGAGCAAACAGG